GACGACGGCUGGCGGCGUGCCUAACACAUGCAAGUCGAGCGGAGUUAACAAGAGGAAGUUUUCGGAUGGAAUUUUGUUAAUUUAGCGGCGGACGGGUGAGUAACGCGUGAGCGACCAACCUUGCACAGGGGGAUAACGGACCGAAAGGUUCACUAAUACCGCAUGAGACCACGGUGUUGCAUGACACAGGGGUCAAAGGAGCAAUCCGGUGCAAGACGGGCUCGCGUCCGAUUAGGUAGUUGGUGGGGUAACGGCCCACCAAGCCUAUGAUCGGUAGCCGACCUGAGAGGGUGAUCGGCCACAUUGGAACUGAGAUACGGUCCAAACUCCUACGGGAGGCAGCAGUGGGGAAUAUUGGGCAAUGGGGGAAACCCUGACCCAGCAACGCCGCGUGAAGGAAGAAGGUUUUCGGAUUGUAAACUUCUGUCCUUGGUGAAGAGAAGAAGACGGUAGCCAAGGAGGAAGCCCCGGCUAACUACGUG
rnacentral:rRNA from 1 species